rnacentral:misc_RNA from 1 species
GCAACUGUUUGUGCAAUCACUGCAUUACACCCGCCUAAUCGAGUCCAAAUCGCACGCGCUAAACUGCUAGUAGAUUUGCAGACCGUGAAAAACAACUCCGAAUCCUAAUUCCCUCAACUAUACGCACAAGAGCAGAGCCAAAAAGAACCAGCUCGAGAUCUAACUUGUUCGAACCGUCUCUGUCUGGUUUCUUUGUUCUUUUAUGGCGGAAAACUCUAACUUGCGCGUUCGAACGGCGGUGUUGUCUCUAAUCCUGUUAUGUUCAACCUUUGGUAAUCUUAAUCUAGUACCUGUAGCAGAAGCUAUAUGGUUAUCGAUUCCUAGUUCGGGAACCAAGUGUGUUUCGGAGGAGAUCCAGAACAACGUUGUCGUUCUCGCUGAUUAUUAUGUUAUUAACGAGGAUCGGCCAGAACACACCCCAAAUGUCUCUGCUCGGGUGACAUCUCCAUAUGGGAACAAUCUUCACCACAAUGAAAAUGUAACUCAUGGUCAGUUUGCAUUUACAACAUCAGAGGCUGGUAACUACAUGGCAUGUUUCUGGUUGGAUAGCCAUCAGCAACAAGCUGGAACAACAACUUUGAGCCUUGACUGGAGAAUUGGAAUUGCUGCGAAGGACUGGGAAUCAGUAGCAAGGAAAGAAAAAAUUGAGGGCGUUGAACUUGACCUAAGGAGACUUGAAGGAACAGUUCAAUCGAUUCACAAUAAUCUAAUCUAUCUCAGGGAAAGGGAAGCAGAGAUGAGGGAAGUCAGUGAAAGAACUAAUGCCAGAGUGGCGUGGUUGAGCAUCAUGUCUCUUGGUGUCUGCAUCGUGGUUUCAGUUUUCCAGCUGUGGCAUUUGAAGAACUACUUCCAAAAGAAGAAGCUUAUAUAGAUCUUAUUCUGUAUUUGUCAUUGUUAGAAAACUGUGUUCAAUGGUUGUACCAUGUUGUAUAACUUCCUCCGGAUUUUUCUUCCUACUUAAGGUGGGCAUUGUCAGUGCCAUCUUAGGUGGUCAGAAAAGAGGAAAAAUGAUAAAAAAGAUAGUUAAAAUACAGAUAUUCCAGAAAACAAUACCUGUGACUGAAAUUGUUUUAGAAAAUGAUCGUUAUGAACUAGGAAGGUAUUUUCAUUCUUGUUUUGUAAUGUGCUAAUUGAAAACAUCCCAAGAAACUGGUAUGAAAACUGCGGAAUUACAAAUAAAUUUUAUAAAAUUGUGCAAUUUUCAAACCCUGAAAUAUUGAUUCUUUGAUACGUCUAAUUCUAAAUUGAUUGAACUCUUGCUGGUGUGUGUAAACCCUUGCUGUUAUGAGUAAAAUUUAAUCCCUGGGCUCUGGGCCUUACUGGGUUUUCUAUGACAAAAGUAUUGGAACAGAAUUGGAACUUGCUUAACGGGCAUCAUCACUGUAAUAUCUAAUAGCCUAAACGCUUCAAACUGGAAACUCAAAAGCGGAAGAUUUUAGCGAAGAAGAUUUGAAGGAUUAUGGCCUUUGCAUCGCUGGCCGCAACGGCGGCAAGGCCAUCCUCGAUUGCUUUACUAGGAAGACGAAGACCCAGAUCGAUUUUCACUCCUUUGGCAUUUUGCUCUUCUUCUUCUUCUUCACCAUUGAAAACGAGAAAGUUGGUUCUCUACUCGAAGCCUGGAUGCUGUUUGUGUGAUGGCCUCAAAGAGAAGCUUCAGGCAGCCUUAUUGCUUUCAGGUCCUUAUUCUCUUCACGACGUCGAUUUGCAGGUAAGGGAUAUUACAAGCAAUCCUGAGUGGGAAAGAGCUUACCAGUACGAGAUACCUGUGUUGGCUAAAGUACUUUCUGAUGGCACUGAGGUUAGUGUUUCUUUACCUUAACUUUUCUUUUAAGCUUUACUCUUAAGUCAGUGUUAGUUUUGCAAUGAUAAUGUAGUUACCUUCGGUGUUGGUGCUUAAUGAAUGCGAGGAUCUCAUAAUUUCCGAUUUCAAAUGCUACUUAGAGGGUGUAAAUGGUUUUAAAGUGGAAUAAAAACCAAAGCUUACAUUGUUAACUGUUCACCUAAUUUUGAACAUCUGGGUUUAUGAUUGGUUUUUCAAAUGAAUUCUUAAUAACUAUUUUUAUCAGUGAAAUGGGCAAACUGAUCAAGAGUCAUAUUGUUAUUUAGGGUACCAAUUUUUUUCAAGUGGCUUAGGGUAUCAAAUGUUAAUAAAAGUUUGAGCGGUUUAGGGGCUUAGGGUAUCAAAUGCUAGUAGAAGUUUGACUGGCUUACGAAGUCUGCAUUGUUUCCCCUCUUUGCUUCUUCCUUUUUUCCCUUAUCCAAAUCAAAUGAAAACAAUAAAACCAUUUGAUUAAAAGUUAACCUCCUAGUUAAACAAAAUAUAUUGAGGCUGGCUUAGUUGGGAUACCUAAAGUCUAAUUGCCUUCAAAAUUUAGGAAAACACUGAUUAGGGAUUUGCAUUUAUAAAUAAUUGUCAAGACUGGAAUGCAAUCAUUGUAUUUAUAUGAUUGAUUUUGUUCAUGACAUUGCUAAAACUAAAGUAAUAGACUUUAUGGUUUGGGAAAGCAUGGGCGUUGGAGUAUAUAUAUGUAUGUAGUUUGACUUGAUUGAUUCUUGAUUCACUAAGGCAUGUUUGGGAUUGUAACAAUUUGUUGCUUUCCCAAUGGCCAAUCAGCAAUAGGAAAAACAAAAAAAUAAAAAUAUGCCCAAAUUCUAUUUGCAUAAGCUGGGUCCUGCAACACUGCAAAACAGGCACUAAGUUGGUUGAUGGUUGGAGAAAAGUAAAGUUGUAAAGAAUAAUUGAGAAGCUUGAAAUACGUUAUUGGUACCUUCAUUCUUUUUUAUUUGUUUUCUAGCCAUGUGGUUGU